CAAUAGCGUAUAUUAAAGUUGUUGCAGUUAAAAAGCUCGUAGUUGGAUUUCUGGUGGGAGCGAUCGGUCUGGCGCUUAGCGCGAGUACUUGCAUCGUCUCCGGCCAUCCUUGGGGAGAGUCUGUCUGGCAUUAAGUUGUCGGGCAGAGGAUCCUCAUCGUUUACUGUGAAAAAAUUAGAGUGUUCAAAGCAGGCUUAUGCCGUUGAAUAUAUUAGCAUGGAACAAUAAGAUAGGACUUUGGUACUAUUUUGUUGGUUUGCGCACCAAAGUAAUGAUUAAUAGGGACAGUUGGGGGUAUUCGAAUUCCGUUGUCAGAGGUGAAGUUCUUGGAUUUACGGAAGACGAACUACUGCGAAAGCAUUUACCAAGGAUGUUUUCAUUAA
rnacentral:rRNA from 1 species